AGGGAUCAUUACACAAAUAUGAAGGCGGGCUGGAACCUCUCGGGGUUACAGCCUUGCUGAAUUAUUCACCCUUGUCUUUUGCGUACUUCUUGUUUCCUUGGUGGGUUCGCCCACCACUAGGACAAACAUAAACCUUUUGUAAUUGCAAUCAGCGUCAGUAACAAAUUAAUAAUUACAACUUUCAACAACGGAUCUCUUGGUUCUGGCAUCGAUGAAGAACGCAGCGAAAUGCGAUAAGUAGUGUGAAUUGCAGAAUUCAGUGAAUCAUCGAAUCUUUGAACGCACAUUGCGCCCUUUGGUAUUCCAAAGGGCAUGCCUGUUCGAGCGUCAUUUGUACCCUCAAGCUUUGCUUGGUGUUGGGCGUCUUGUCUCUAGCUUUGCUGGAGACUCGCCUUAAAGUAAUUGGCAGCCGGCCUACUGGUUUCGGAGCGCAGCACAAGUCGCACUCUCUAUCAGCAAAGGUCUAGCAUCCAUUAAGCCUUUUUUCAACUUUUGACCUCGGAUCAGGUAGGGAUACCCGCUGA
rnacentral:rRNA from 1 species